GCCUGGGUGGCUCAGUCGGUUAAGCGUCUGACUUCGGCUCAGGUCAUGAUCUCGCGGUCCGUGAGUUCGAGCCCCGCUUCGGGCU
rnacentral:tRNA from 1 species